AACACAUUAUUUAAAAAUCUAACAAAUGAGCUUUGUUGCUGAAACAGAAACUGGCAGUUAUCACUAAAAAUUUCGUUAUUGUGGAAGCGAGAAACUUCUUCAGAGAUGUGCAAAGUAAACGUAACUAAACUGAGUGGAAAAUGACAAAGGCUAAGCUGUCUAGUGUCAGAAAAAAGAAACGUUUACAUGAAAACAAUGUCCGCUCUAGCUCGUUGACAGUUGAAAGUUAAGAACUAACAAACGAAGGCAAAUAACUUUGAUACUCACGUAAUAUUCUCCCCUCCAAAUUUACAUCUCGUCUUCACUAAAAAGCCACCACCGCAGCAUCACACAUCACAACAGACGAAAUCCCCAAGAUAUAAUGAUGAGAAGGCAGCUUGACAAGUGACAUUCUUCUGAAUCUGUGCGUUGUCUAUGGCAUCUGUUAGUGAUUGCAGAUUCUUGACGAAAUAUCGUAUACUGCUACCUUUACGUUUCAACGGCUGUUUAUGUUCAGGCUGUUAAUGCCUUAAUGGAGAUGCUGCCUAAUGAGGAGAUAGUGAAAGGCAGGUGAAAGGUGUGCUUGAUGCUGUUGCUGUCCGUGGUGCCACAAUUCAAUGUGUUCUUUGUUAAUUUGUCUGACAUGUCAAAUCUCUUGCUUCCAAUCUCAUCCAUGCAGUAAGAUUAAGGCAACCUGAUCUUACAUGAUAGGCCUAUAGGAGUGAUUCCAUUGACAACUGUUGGAACAAAAUCUUUCUGCGCCAAACAAAUAAUGACACUGUGUUAUUAUCGUGGUUGAGAAAGCAACAUGCCAUCAAAUAAAAUUAUGGGUGUUGUGUUUCAUUUAA